UACGAAGGGGGCUAGCGUUGCUCGGAAUUACUGGGCGUAAAGCGCACGUAGGCGGCUCUUUAAGUCGGGGGUGAAAUCCUGGAGCUCAACUCCAGAACUGCCUUCGAUACUGAAGAGCUCGAGUCCGGGAGAGGUGAGUGGAACUGCGAGUGUAGAGGUGAAAUUCGUAGAUAUUCGCAAGAACACCAGUGGCGAAGGCGGCUCACUGGCCCGGUACUGACACUGAGGUGCGAAAGCGUGGGGAGCAAACAGG
rnacentral:rRNA from 1 species